rnacentral:pre_miRNA from 1 species
AGUGGGAUUGCUGGGUCAUAUGGUAGUUCUAUAUUCAACUUUUUGAGGAAUCUCCAAACUAUUUUCCACAGUGGCUGCACCAUUUUGCAUUCCCACCAGCGAU